GAUGAACGCUAGCGACAGGCCUCCCUCUUGCAAGUCGAGGGGCAGCACGGAAGUAGCAAUACAACUGGUGGCGACCGGCGCACGGGUGAGUAACACGUAUGCAACCUGCCUGUAAAAGGGAAAUAACCCGGAAAAAUCCGGACUAAUACCGCAUAAUACUGUGAAACUGCAUGGUUUUACAGUUAAACAUUUAUGGCUUACAAAUGGGCAUGCGUAUGAUUAGCUAGUUGGUGAGGUAACGGCUCACCAAGGCAACAAUCAUUAGGGGUUCUGAAAGGAAGGUCCCCCACACUGGUACUGAAACACGGACCAAACUCCUACGGGAGGCAGCAUUGAGGAAUAUUGGUCAAUGGGCAAGAGCCUGAACCAGCCAAGUCGCGUGAAGGAAAAAGGUUCUAUGGAUUGUAAACUUCUUUUGUAAGGAAAUAAAAAAAAGUACGUGUACUCUAUUGUAUGUACUUUACAAAUAAGGAUCGGCUAACUCCGUG
rnacentral:rRNA from 1 species